ACAGCCAUAUUAUGUUGAAGCAAUAGUUCUCGUAUGAUCACCGAAGUUAAGCAAUGUCAAGCCUGCUCAGUACCUAGAUGGGUAACCGCUUCGGAAUACCAGGUGCUGUAAG